GUUUCAGUCUCAACAUUAGCACAGUGGAGGGUUUGUACUAUGUUGUAUGUUGUUGUUGUGAUUCUACUCACCCAAGACAUUUUGUGGUCUGAGGAGAACACACGAUGGUUUCUGUCCCCUAUAUUCCUUAUAUAGCAGUUGACCAGAUUGAAUAGCCCCCUCCAUCCACCAAUGUCCCUGAAGGCACAGACGUAUUUCCUAGGGUUUCCCAAGGAUGAUACUCGGAGGGACGAAAGGCAUAGUUGGACAAUAGGUUUCUACACCACUAGGCUGAGAAAUCCAAUAUACAUCUAGUUUUCCCCUGCUGUUCUUUCCAGGAAAAAUUGUGAUAGGUGUGGACCGGGGUUGCAGUGACGUAUGUCGUGUCCUGAAGAAGAAGAAGGAAGACUUUGAGGAAAAGAUGGUGUGCUGUGCCCGAAACCUUUGCAACUACCACAACUUCUGGACUAAUCAAUGAAUCAAUGAAUCAAAGUCUUUAUUGCGGAGGGUUUGAAAGAUCUCUACAAUUCUGUUAAUGACCAGUUCUGUUGCUGAAUCAUUUCUCUCAGAAAAAAACAAAAUGACCACCACAUAAAUCUUGACGGAUGAUUCACAAAUGCACUAAUAUGGAUGUUGCUUUGAUGUGCUGUCUGUCUGUCUGUCUGGCCAGCCUCCUAGAGAGCUCAGUGGUUUAGAUAUCUAGCCUCAGGGCCCAAGGUUAGGAGUUUGUUUCCAUUAAAAGCUCUUUUUUCCUAAAUUCCAUUUUGUGGCCCAAAGCUUUGCUUACUUGAGGAAGAAUAAUAAGAACAGGCCAACCUAACCUCCUUUGGGAGAAGCCAUCAACUCUUGUGUCCUCAUCAAACAUUUCUAUGGGGUGGGAGCUAUCCAAUGUUCAGAAUGUAGAAAUGUGGCAGAAGAUAACACGUGUACGGUAAAGCCUGAACUGACCUGUGACAAUGGGCUUUUCAACCUCUGCUACACACGGGUGAUAAAGAAAGGUGAGUGCAGUCGUUACUCUUGGAGUACCAAGUACUCAGCUUCUGUUGCUGUCCGUGGUAGAAACAGGAGGCCUUAUACCUGUGCUUGCCAGAUUUUGCUGCAGGAUCUUUCACAGCUUCAUGAGAAACCGAAAUUCACUGUAUAAGAACGUCAAAAUAAGCUUCACCUGCUGACUUCUUCUGGACUGUCAGGCCCUUUUCAAAUCUACGAGAGUCGUCCCAGGAAAAGACCUGCUUCAAGCAAAAUGAAGAUAAUUUUUCCCCCUCACUAUCGAACAUCAACAACAUUUUCACGCCAU
rnacentral:lncRNA from 1 species